GGUUAGUGUUAAGUUAGCUGCUUAGCUUGCUUCUCUAACUUACCGCUGCGGAAACAUCUGCUUUCUGACCUUAAACAUGACAUUUUAGCUGCUAGGUAAAACGACUUGGUCAGACCAGCGUGUGCAGCAGACAUUUGGGAACAGCAGAGAUUUGAUCCAAUUCUGGACACUGGUUUCUUCAAACAGCAAAGUUUGUUUGGUCUCCCUGGAGUAUUAAACUGUGAAACGGGCUUUAUAAUCACAACCUAAAAAUACAAGGCCAUAUUUGUUGUUGUUGUCUCCGGUUUCGCCGGUCCCCCGGUACGCUCUGUGAAACCCUAGAUCUGAUGCGCAGCUCCAGCCAAGAAAGAUGCAGCACCCUACAAUAGGCUAUUUUCAUAUGGGAGAGAAUGAGGAAGAGAAGGAGACCCUUACUGUUUAAUCUCCAUGGAAGUCCAGUGCAUUUUCCUUCAGUGGCCUACAAACCAUCAGGCCGUUUUCACCCAUCUCCCAGUGCUCUCCUGUGCUCUAAUCACUUCAAAAAUGUCUCUCUUUUUGCUAUGCUGUCUCCAUUUCUGCCCCUCCAUCUCUCUGAGCAGAAAGAUGGCUCACUCAGAAUUAUUUUAAUUGCUUAGGGCAACAUAGUUGGGCGUUAUGAUGUGGUAAAUGAAAAUGGCGGUAAAUUAUUUGUUCAGUUGGUGAUCAUCAUAAGGUUACUGACCACUUGCAUAAACAAGAAUCCAUUUUACUUUUAAAAGCAUUAAUUCUUCUUUUUCCCCCAGUGUUUAUAUAACAACCAUCAGUUUAAUAGUGCUUACAGUGAUGCCUGCCAUGAAAUAAUGUUGUAAAGAUUUAUGUAAACCAAAAAAACGGUUGGUUGCAUAAAUAAAAAGCUGGAUAAACUGAACUGAGAAGGUUUUGCCCUCCACUGUGUCCCUGGAUGUUGGGUGAAAAGGGUCUGGGGGUCCUUAGAUGGAGACUGUGGCCACUUAGGGAAAAAGAUUUGACUGUAAUGGUCUCUGAAUCUGUUGAUGUGUCUCUCCCUCUCUCUUGCUCUCUCAGAUGAAGUAAUAAAGUUAGCUGUGUUGGAGGCCCUCCAUGUCUCUCCAUAGACCACAAUCAAGGCCCGUGCAGUUUUAUUGCAGUUUUAUUUUCAUAUUGUCCAAGAAAUCUCCAGACUCCCUCCUGUGCCCGUUGCCAUAAAUCGUAUAUUUUGACUGUAUUUCUUCCACUCUGCGUUUUUUAUUUAUGGGUGAAG